UGCUUCUGAAAGAUCCCCGAAGGGAGACCCUUACGCAAGUCUCGGGAAAUCGCAGACCCCAGACACAAAGAGACCA
rnacentral:pre_miRNA from 14 species